AUGGAAUUAAAAGGUAAAAAAUGCAAGACCAAAAUAAAGUUCUUAUAAGCAGUGUUUGGUUACGGGAUAGGGAUAGGGAUAGGGAUACGUCCUUAUCUCCUUCUUUAUACCCAAACGUUAAUUUUUUAUCCCAAAAUAAUAGUUCUCGAUUAUCCCCACCAACACCUUUUUUUUCUAUAUAAAACUACCUAAUAUUUUUUUAUCUCCAGAAACAACCCAAUUUUCAUCCAAACGCUAUUUUUCUUAUCCCCAUACUUGUACCUAUUCUUAUAAUAACUAGUUCUUGCUUAUACCCGAAUCAAACAAUACCAUAAAGUAUAAUGCACCAUUGAUUUAAGCACAUAGCUAUAUACAUAUCCAACUCUCUCUUUUC
rnacentral:lncRNA from 1 species